rnacentral:rRNA from 1 species
AUUGAACGCUGGCGGAAUGCUUUACACAUGCAAGUCGAACGGCAGCACGGGGGCAACCCUGGUGGCGAGUGGCGAACGGGUGAGUAAUACAUCGGAACGUGCCCGGUCGUGGGGGAUAACGUAGCGAAAGUUACGCUAAUACCGCAUACGAUCUGAUGAUGAAAGCGGGGGACCUUCGGGCCUCGCGCGAUCGGAGCGGCCGAUGUCAGAUUAGGUAGUUGGUGGGGUAAAGGCCUACCAAGCCGACGAUCUGUAGCUGGUCUGAGAGGACGACCAGCCACACUGGGACUGAGACACGGCCCAGACUCCUACGGGAGGCAGCAGUGGGGAAUUUUGGACAAAGGGCGCAAGCCUGAUCCAGCCAUUCCGCGUGCAGGACGAAGGCCUUCGGGUUGUAAACUGCUUUUGUAUGGAACGAAAAGGCUCUGGCUAAUACCUGGGGCUCAUGACGGUACCGUAAGAAUAAGCACCGGCUAACUACGUG